ACAUGCAGAGAACUUUCCAGAGAUGGAUUGGUGGCCUUCGGGAACUCUGACACAGGUGCUGCAUGGCUGUCGUCAGCUCGUGUCGUGAGAUGUUGGGUUAAGUCCGUAACGAGCGCAACCCUUGUCCUUAGUUACCAGCACGUUAUGGUGGGCACUCUAAGGAGACUGCCGGUGCAAACCGGAGGAAGGUGGGGGUGACGUCAAGUCAUCAUGGCCCUUACGGCCUGGGCUACACACGUGCUACAAUGGUCGGUACAAAGGGUUGCCAAGCCGCGAGGUGGAGCUAAUCCCAUAAAACCGAUCGUAGUCCGGAUCGCAGUCUGCAACUCGACUGCGUGAAGUCGGAAUCGCUAGUAAUCGUGAAUCAGAAUGUCACGGUGAAUACGUUCCCGGGCCUU
rnacentral:rRNA from 1 species